rnacentral:rRNA from 1 species
AGAGUUUGAUCCUGGCUCAGAUUGAACGCUGGCGGAAUGCUUUACACAUGCAAGUCGAACGGCAGCACGGGAGCUUGCUCCUGGUGGCGAGUGGCGAACGGGUGAGUAAUACCUAGGAACAUGUCCAGUAAUGGGGGAUAACGCAGCGAAAGCUGUGCUAAUACCGCAUACGCCCUACGGGGGAAAGCGGGGGAUUCGUAAGAACCUCGCGUUAUUGGAGUGGCCUAGGCCUGAUUAGCUAGUUGGUGAGGUAAAGGCUCACCAAGGCGACGAUCAGUAGCUGGUCUGAGAGGAUGAUCAGCCACACUGGAACUGAGACACGGUCCAGACUCCUACGGGAGGCAGCAGUGGGGAAUUUUGGACAAUGGGGGAAACCCUGAUCCAGCCAUUCCGCGUGAGUGAAGAAGGCCUUCGGGUUGUAAAGCUCUUUCAGGAGGGAAGAAACGGUUACGGAUAAUACCUGUGACUAAUGACGGUACCUUCAGAAGAAGCACCGGCUAACUACGUGCCAGCAGCCGCGGUAAUAC